ACUGGCUUGUGGCAGCCAAGCGUUCA
rnacentral:ncRNA from 2 species